UACGUAGGGUGCGAGCGUUAAUCGGAAUUACUGGGCGUAAAGCGUGCGCAGGCGGUUCGUUGUGUCGGUGGUGAAAUCCCCGGGCUUAACCUGGGAAUGGCCAUGGAAACUGGCGAACUGGAGUGCGGCAGAGGGGGGUGGAAUUCCGCGUGUAGCAGUGAAAUGCGUAGAGAUGCGGAGGAACACCGAUGGCGAAGGCAGCCCUCUGGGCUAAAACUGACGCUCAGGCACGAAAGCGUGGGGAGCAAACAGG
rnacentral:rRNA from 1 species